rnacentral:rRNA from 1 species
ACAUCCAGAGAACUUAGCAGAGAUGCUUUGGUGCCUUCGGGAACUCUGAGACAGGUGCUGCAUGGCUGUCGUCAGCUCGUGUUGUGAAAUGUUGGGUUAAGUCCCGNAACGAGCGCAACCCUUAUCCUUUGUUGCCAGCGGCUCGGCCGGGAACUCAAAGGAGACUGCCGGUGAUAAACCGGAGGAAGGUGGGGAUGACGUCAAGUCAUCAUGGCCCUUACGGCCAGGGCUACACACGUGCUACAAUGGCGCAUACAAAGAGAAGCGACCUCGCGAGAGCAAGCGGACCUCAUAAAGUGCGUCGUAGUCCGGAUUGGAGUCUGCAACUCGACUCCAUGAAGUCGGAAUCGCUAGUAAUCGUAGAUCAGAAUGCUACGGUGAAUACGUUCCCGGGCCUUGUACACACCGCCCGUCACACCAUGGGAGUGGGUUGCAAAAGAAGUAGGUAGCUUAACCUUCGGGAGGGCGCUUACCACUUUGUGAUUCAUGACUGGGGUGAAGUCGUAACAAGGUAAGCGUAGACGU